GUAUUGGUGGUUCAGUGGUAGAAUUCUCACCUUCUAUGUGGGAGACCCCGGUUCAAUUCCUGGUCAAUGCA
rnacentral:tRNA from 1 species